AUUGAACGCUGGCGGCAGGCCUAACACAUGCAAGUCGAACGAGCGGCGGACGGGUGAGUAAUGUCUGGGGAACUGCCUGAUGGAGGGGGGUAACUACUGGGGACGGUGGCGAAUACCGCAUACGAUCAGAUUUGCGCAGAUGGGAUUAGCUAGUAGGUGGGGGAACGGCGCACCUAGGCGACGCUCCCUAGCUGGUCUGAGAGGGUGACCAGCCACACUGGAACUGAGACACGUUCCAGACUCCUACGGGAGGCAGCAGUGGGGAAUAUUGCACAAUGGGCGCAAGCCUGAUGCAGCCAUGCCGCGUGUGUGAAGAAGGCCUUCGGGUUGUAAAGCACUUUCAGCGGGGAGGCGUUACUCGCAGAAGAAGCACCGGCUAACUCCGUGCCAGCAGCCGCGGUAAUUC
rnacentral:rRNA from 1 species